rnacentral:rRNA from 1 species
AUUGAACGCUGGCGGCAUGCCUUACACAUGCAAGUCGAACGGUAACAGGUUAGGCUGACGAGUGGCGAACGGGUGAGUAAUGUAUCGGAACGUGCCCAGUCGUGGGGGAUAACUGCUCGAAAGAGCAGCUAAUACCGCAUACGACCUGAGGGUGAAAGCGGGGGAUCGCAAGACCUCGCGCGAUUGGAGCGGCCGAUAUCAGAUUAGGUAGUUGGUGAGGUAAAGGCUCACCAAGCCGACGAUCUGUAGCUGGUCUGAGAGGACGACCAGCCACACUGGGACUGAGACACGGCCCAGACUCCUACGGGAGGCAGCAGUGGGGAAUUUUGGACAAUGGGCGCAAGCCUGAUCCAGCCAUGCCGCGUGCGGGAAGAAGGCCUUCGGGUUGUAAACCGCUUUUGUCAGGGAAGAAAAGGUUCUGGCUAAUACCUGGGACUCAUGACGGUACCUGAAGAAUAAGCACCGGCUAACUACGUG